rnacentral:lncRNA from 1 species
UAAAAAUUUAUACUAUAUCAUCUUCAGAGUUUUAUUUUGUGUCACCAAAAAAUAAUUUUUAAAUCUACAAUCUAUCUUUUAUUAUCUGCGAUUUAUAAAAAAAAAAUAUAAUUUUAUUCAUACCUCUCAAAAGUUUAGAAAUAUCGUAGAUAUCCUUAUAAAAUUAGUAAUAUCACAAUUAUACCUUUAAAUUCCCUUUUUUUUUCACUUCUACCCUCAUAGUUGGCUGGCCUCUGGAAGUUCACACAAUUUUAAUCCAAUUGUUUUUAUAUAAAAUAUAUUAAAUAUGAAAUUGCUUAAUUUUCCUCUUAUUUUGAAUCUAGUGAUGGUGUAUCCAUUAUUUAUUCCCCUCCUCACCAAAGGAAUAUCUAUACUAUAUAUAAAAGCGUAUAGGGAUUCCGACAAUAACAGACGGAAUCUAAAAAAGGAAUAAAAAAAUAUUCCCUAUAUUUUUUAGGAACAGGUACGAACGGAUAUGAUCACUUAAUUAAAAAUAUUCCCUAUAUUUUCUAGGGACGGGUACGAACGGGUAUGAUCACUUAAUUAAAAAAAUCUCAAAUAAGAACGAACGGUUCUGUUAAAAAAUAGCAUUCUUAUCUAUCAAUAAAAAAAUUCAAAAAGGAAUAAAAGAAUAUUUCCUAUAUUUUUUACGAUCAGGUAUGAUCACUUAAUUAAAAAAAUCUCAAAUAAGAAUGAACGGUUAUGAUUAAUCUGUUAAAUAUAAAUCCGAUCCUACGAACGGUUGUGUUAAUAAAAAAUGAACGGUUCACUUAAUUAAAAUAAUAAGAACUAAUGGUUAUGAUUAAUCUGUUAAAAAAUAGCAUUCUUAUCCAAAAAUUUUAAUUAUAGUGGAUAAAUAUUAAAUUUUAAAUUUUGAAAUAAAUAUGAAUUAAAUU